GUCGUUUCGGCGGGACAGCAUGUGGCUCGAGCCGGCAAUUUUUUGGAUUGUUCAGAAAUAUAUAAAUCCGUGGCGUCCGAAACCCCCGCCUCUUUCCUCCCUCCUUUUCCUCAUACAAUCUCUCUCUCUCUUCUGUGGAUGGAAGUUAUUGUUGGCGGAGGAGAGCAAUGGCACGUACGAGCGCAGCGUGCGAGGAUUCGGGUGACGGAAUAAGGACUCGUGGUCCGUCAGCAGCCGGUGCUCCGUUUGUGAAGGAGGGCUACGACGAGGAGGGAGGAGGAGGCGUAGCAGACGGAAAGGCGGGGUUUCCGUGUCGUUUUGACCACUCGGAAUGUAGAUUCGCCUCGUUUCCUUCGAAGAGGCUCGGACGGUGAGCUAUUGUGCGGAUUUGCUGGCAUUGCAAGCCGGCCAUGCCGAACCAGCAAGAUCGGGUAACCUGGCUUCUAGUUCUGGCUGAGUGCCAGAAUGCUGACUCGGUCAAGUGAUUUUCAGCUCCAGAGAGGAGGAAAGAAUGGGAGCAUCGAAUUAAGCUGAAGACAGCGAUGCAUCUUCCUCUCUUCCUUUUCUCUCCCGUAGUGAUAUUGGCGACUCCGGCUCAAUCUCUGCACACCUAGUUUGUGUAGCCUCUUGCUCUCUCCCUCUCGCUUUCUUACCAUGUAUGCCAAUUGAUUUCAAUUCAAUUGUCGCUUCCCGUUGGCGAAUGAUUUACAAUGACAUGGCGAUAUUCUUUUGGCCCUUUAAGUGAGGCUUUCUAGUGUUCGGCCUUCAUUCAUAAGGUAUUUUUGCUAUUUUAAAUAAAUCAGUUUUUCUUGUUGCA